GACGAACGCUGGCGGCGUGCCUAAUACAUGCAAGUUGAGCGCUGAAGGUUGGUACUUGUACCAACUGGAUGAGCAGCGAACGGGUGAGUAACGCGUGGGGAAUCUGCCUUUGAGCGGGGGACAACACUUGGAAACGAAUGCUAAUACCGCAUAAAAACUUUAAACACAAGUUUUAAGUUUGAAAGAUGCAAUUGCAUCACUCAAAGAUGAUCCCGCGUUGUAUUAGCUAGUUGGUGAGGUAAAGGCUCACCAAGGCGAUGAUACAUAGCCGACCUGAGAGGGUGAUCGGCCACAUUGGGACUGAGACACGGCCCAAACUCCUACGGGAGGCAGCAGUAGGGAAUCUUCGGCAAUGGACGAAAGUCUGGCCGAGCAACGCCGCGUGAGUGAAGAAGGUUUUCGGAUCGUAAAACUCUGUUGGUAGAGAAGAACGUUGGUGAGAGUGGAAAGCUCAUCAAGUGACGGUAACUACCCAGAAAGGGACGGCUAACUACGUG
rnacentral:rRNA from 1 species